rnacentral:lncRNA from 1 species
CUUAAGUCCUCACUGGGAAGGGGAGGAAGGAUCAGGGAUGUUGGGUGGUGGUGUUGGUGGAGGAAGAAGAGGAGGAGGAGGAGGGGCUGUUAACUGAUGUCCGUAGAGAGGCGUGAGGGUCAGAGCAGAGGGUGGUCAUCCGGCCCGGUCACUUAGCCAAGGCCCAGCGUGCCCCGAGCAGCCGUCGCUCAUUAACCCGCUGACAGGAGCUCCGGACACCGAGCGGCGUCGCCCCACACAGAAAGGUCACAGGGUCAAUCAGCCCUCUCACCGGCCAUCAAAUCAAGAUGGACGCACAAGCUGCGACUUAUCCCCCAAUCAAAGGGUCUCCCUGAUUGGUCAUGGGGAUUUCUCCUCGUCCUCCACCGCAGUGAGUUCAUGUGUGUGCGUUUGUCCACCUUGGCCGCUCCGCCAUGGGCACUGCCCUGACCGCGGGUAAGAAACAUCAGCUGCAUGACGCUGUCUCCCUUCCUCUCUCUUUGAUGCACAGACUCACACACACAUGUGCUUCUCAUUCGUAAUGUCCGCAGUCAGCCUCUUUAGCAUGAAUGAAAACAGGCCAACAGCCAAUAAUGGCACCAUAGAGAAAGAGGGGAAACACUUAAAUAAUCUCCUUCCCCCUGAGCCCUGGAGAGCUCAGUUUUUAUAAGUCAGCUCAGUGUGCAUCCCCAGCCUGUUGGAUUUGAGGCGAGAGGAUUGUACUAAUGUUGUGACUUUAAACAGGAGACUCAUGGGAUGGAGCAUUGGGAGGGAGUAAACAGCUGAUUUGAUCUUCUUUUAGACGGGAGCUGAGCUUUUGUUGACACACAGCCCUGUUGUUCGGUGCUGGAUAAUGCUGCUUGUGUAAUUGUACAUAUCAGAAACAGAGAAUUUAAUAUGAAGUACGCAGAGUUAACUUUGACAAUACAUCCUAUAAUUAUUUAAAUAACUAAUUGUGUUUACUGACAGGAGGCGAGCUCAAAGAAUCCUUUUCAACUUUUGGGAUAAAAAUGUUCACUCCUGUUUGUCAACCUGACUGCAGUAACGAUCAGGAGGUUAUAGUCUUGUAGUGUCUGUUAAAGGUUAAGAGUGGCGUUAUUUCAUAUAUUUAUUGUUUUUAAAUCCAGUUUAAAGACUUUAACCAGCAAUAAAUUGAUCCUUCUAACAGAUAUUAUGUAUAUAUAUAUGUUAGUGUUGACCCAUUCUCUUGGAUAAGGUGUCAUUCUUCAUUAAAGUGAGCAUGGACAGUGUAGCGUAUUUCAAGUCUGCUCUAAUACAUUGUUUGUUUUGGGCAAUAACAAAAAUGAUAGAAUAGCAGCGGUCAACAGAUUACAAAACAAACAAUAAACAAAUAGAUUUGAAUAAACAAUAAAUGCACUAUUCUAUGCUUUCAAAGAGAAUAUUUGUUUAAAAGUGCCAAUAUAUGCAAUAGUAAGUAGACACAUGGUUUGAUUAAAAGUUCAACAUUUUGUAUUAAGGAAAUUUACAGAGGAGACCAAACUGUGCUGCACCAACGUAAAUCUAAACUUGACUCGUCUUUUUCUGAGUUUGCUUCUUAGUUUAAAAUUCUUCAUAGCGGAAUGAAAUCCUCACCAGAAAUUCAGUCUUAAUCUCGUGCUGCAGUCAGAAGCAACCAGUGGCUCCAUGCUGGUGAGUUUUGACCCUAAUAUCUGCGGUUUUAACCCCGUCUGACAUUCAUAAUCUCUAUUAUCUUUCAGCCUCUACUGGUCUGAGACCUCAGGUCUGAGACAGUAGGGGACCCAAGGCAUAAAAAGAUGCUUGUCACAGUUGCUUCUUAACAGAUAAAAUCAGUGACUGUAUUGAUGUUGGAGCUGCGCGUAACGGCUUUGUGUAUGCGUGUGUGCGUGUUUAUAUGUGUGGCGGGGGGUCUAACUGUCUGACACC